CCCUUAGAUGUUCUGGGCUGCACGCGCGCUACACUGAUGCGUUCAACGAGCCUUCCUUGCUCGAGAGAGCUGGGUAAUCUUCAUGAAAACGCAUCGUGAUGGGGAUAGGCGCUUGUAAUUAUUCGCCUUGAACGAGGAAUUCCUAGUAAGCGCGAGUCAUCAGCUCGCGCUGAUUACGUCCCUGCCCUUUGUACACACCGCCCGUCGCUCCUACCGAUUGAGCGGUCCGGUGAAUAGUUCGGACUGCGCCUUGUGUAUCGCUUAGAGGAAGGAGAAGUCGUAACA
rnacentral:rRNA from 1 species